CGUCGCUUUCUAGUGUCUGUGGUGUCGGCGCUGCAGGAUGACGCGAGCCUCUCGCGUCCCUGGUUUUCUCGGUCGCAGCGUUGAGUUAUUGGGUGGAAAGAAAGGAAAAAGGAAGAAGCAGAGGGUCAGCAGAUGUUGAAAGAGGUAUAAUCAAGCUCAUACUCCAUUAAACAGAAAGCAAACUAAGAGCUGGAGAGAUGAAGAGACUUGGUCAACAUCAUACAUAUCUUUCAGCCAAGUUGCUUAAGAACAACAGUUGACUAGAACUGCACGUCUUCCUUCAAACACUGUCUACUGCAGAAUGCAAACAGGAACCUCUGGGAAUAUCU
rnacentral:lncRNA from 1 species